AGCAGGUUUGGUCCUAGCCUCAGUGUUAAUUAUAACUAGACUUAUACAUGCAAGUUUCCGCAUUCCGGUGAAAACGCCCUAAUCAUACUCUAAUUUGAUUAGAUGUUGGUAUCAGGCACAUACAUUGUCAUAGCCCAUGACACCUCGCUUAGGCGGGGCAUUAGGGACUCAGCAGUGAUAAAACAUUGUUUUAUGAGCGAAAGCUUGAAUCAAUCAAAGUUAUAAAGAGUUGGUCAAUCUCAUGCCAGCCACCGUGGUUAUACGAGUGACACAAAUUAAUAUUCUACGGCGUUAAGGGUGAUUAGAAGAAAUAUCUUACCAAAAUAAAGUUAAGACCGCAUCAAGCUGUCAUACGCUUUUAUGUCUUAAAAUAUCACUCACGAAAGUAACUUUAACUAUUAAGAGUUUUUGAAUUCACGACAGUUAAGACCCAAACUAGGAUUAGAUACCCUACUAUGCUUAACCCUAAACAUCGUUAUAUAUGAAUUACCCCAAUAUCCGCCCGAACACUACAAGCGCUAGCUUAAAAACCAAAGGACUUGGCGGUGCUCCAAACCCACCUAGAGGAGCCUGUUCUACAACCGAUAAUCCACGUUCAACCUCACCACUUCUUGCCAUUACCGCCUAUAUACCGCCGUCGUAAGCUCACCUUAUGAGAGAUAAAUAGUAAGCCAAAUGGGUUCCCUCCCCAGUACGUCAGGUCGAGGUGUAGCGAAUGAAGUGGGAAGAAAUGGGCUACAUUCUCUUCCUAGAGUAUAACGAACAGAAACAUGAAAAUUUCCUUAAAGGUGGAUUUAGCAGUAAGUACACUUUAGAACACUGUACUGAAACCGGCUCUGGAGCGCGCACACACCGCCCGUCACUCUCCUCAAAAAACAUACAAUUCUUCCAUAAAAAAAUUCUUUGAACAAGAGGAGGCAAGUCGUAACAUGGUAAGUGUACUGGAAAGUGCACUUGGACCAAC
rnacentral:ncRNA from 1 species